rnacentral:lncRNA from 1 species
UGACACUACUACCUAGAUAUUGGAUAUCGAAAGUUUAUGUAAAUUAUUGCAACGACUUCAAAUUAGUAGAAAGUUUGAAAAUAGUAAGAGAUUUCUAAACAUUUGGAAGUCAUAUUUCAAUCCUGAUUUUAAGAAUUGUCGAGCUUAUUUUCAAUUCCAACAAUAUCAUUUUAGUGAUUGUCACUAUUGUCUAAUGAUUUUUGUGAUAUCAUUAUGAAUGAUAUCAAAUCAUAUGGACAACUGAGAAAUGAUAUUUAUGAGUAGUCAUAGUCUAUUAG